AAUCAAAUCACCUGGGAAUCUUCUUAAAAUGCAGAUUCUGAUUCAGAAGGUCUGGAAUGGGGCCUGGGAUUCUACCUUUCUAACAAGCUCCCAGGGGAUGUGAAG
rnacentral:pre_miRNA from 1 species